ACGGCUCAGUAACACGUGGAUAACCUACCCUUAGGACUGGGAUAACCCUGGGAAACUGGGGAUAAUACCGGAUAGGCAAUUUUUCCUGUAAUGGUUUUUUGUUUAAAUGUUUUUUCGCCUAAGGAUGGGUCUGCGGCCGAUUAGGUAGUUGGUUAGGUAAUGGCUUACCAAGCCGUUGAUCGGUACGGGUUGUGAGAGCAAGAGCCCGGAGAUGGAACCUGAGACAAGGUUCCAGGCCCUAUGGGGUGCAGCAGGCGCGAAACCUCCGCAAUGUGAGAAAUCGCGACGGGGGGAUCCCAAGUGCCAUUCUUAACGGGAUGGCUUUUCAUUAGUGUAAAGAGCUUUUGGAAUAAGAGCUGGGCAAGACCGGUGCCAGCCGCCGCGGUAACACCGGCAGCUCUAGUGGUAACAAUUUUUAUUGGGCCUAAAGCGUCCGUAGCCGGUUUAAUAAGUCUCUGGUGAAAUCCUGUAGCUUAACUGUGGGAAUUGCUGGAGAUACUAUUAGACUUGAGACCGGGAGAGGUUAGAGGUACUCCCAGGGUAGAGGUGAAAUUCUGUAAUCCUGGGAGGACCGCCUGUUGCGAAGGCGUCUAACUGGAACGGUUCUGACGGUGAGGGACGAAAGUUAGGGGCGCGAACCGGAUUAGAUACCCGGGUAGUCCUAACUGUAAACGAUGCGGACUUGGUGUUGGGGUGGCUUUGAGCUGCUCCAGUGCCGAAGGGAAGCUGUUAAGGCCGCCGCCUGGGAAGUACGGUCGCAAGACUGAAACUUAAAGGAAUUGGCGGGGGAG
rnacentral:rRNA from 1 species